CAAGAAGCCGAAAGGCUACUUAAAACCAUCGCGAACUUAUCCAAGUUGCUUCGGCGGCGCGGCUCCCCUCACGGGGGACCGCAGCCCCCGCCUCUCAGGAGGUAAGGGGCAGCCGCCGGAGUGUCCGUAUACAACUCUGUAUUAUACCAGUGGUAUCUCUGAGUACUAUAACUUAAAUAAGUAA
rnacentral:misc_RNA from 1 species